UACGUAGGUGGCAAGCGUUGUCCGGAUUUACUGGGCGUAAAGAGCGUGUAGGCGGUUCGGUAAGUCUGUCGUGAAAUCCUGAGGCUCAACCUCGGGCGUGCGAUGGAUACUGCCGGGCUAGAGGAUGGUAGAGGCGAGUGGAAUUCCCAGUGUAGCGGUGAAAUGCGUAGAUAUUGGGAGGAACACCAGUGGCGAAGGCGGCUCACUGGACCGGUACUGACGCUGAUGCGCGAAAGCGUGGGGAGCAAACAGG
rnacentral:rRNA from 1 species